CAAACAGGCUCCUGGGUUAAGAUUAGAUGAGAUUCAAACAGGGUCCUGGGUUAAGAUUAGAUCAGAUUCAAACAGGGUCCUGGGUUAAGAUUAGAUCAGAUUCAAACAGGGUCCUGGGUUAAGAUUAGAUCCGAUUCAAACAGGGUCCUGGGUUAAGAUUAGAUCCGAUUCAAACAGGGUCCUGGGUUAAGAUUAGAUCCGAUUCAAACAGGGUCCUGGGUUAAGAUUAGAUUAGAUUCAAACAGGGUCCUGGGUUAAGAUUAGAUCCGAUUCAAACAGGGUCCUGGGUUAAGAUUAGAUGAGAUUCAAACAGGGUCCUGGGUUAAGAUUAGAUCAGAUUCAAACAGGGUCCUGGGUUAAGAUUAGGUCAGAUUCAAACAGGGUCCUGGGUUAAGAUUAGAUCAGAUUCAAACAGGGUCCUGGCUUAAGCAGCACACCUACAUGUUCCACUUUUGCUGCUUUAAGAUUAGAUGAGAUUCAACUUUAUAGUCACUGUGC
ensembl:lncRNA